GUGCCAGCAGCCGCGGUAAUACGUAAGGUCCGAGCGUUGUCCGGAAUCAUUGGGCGUAAAGGGUACGUAGGCGGAUAAGCAAGUUAGAAGUGAAAGGCUAUAGCUCAACUAUAGUAAGCUUUUAAAACUGUUUAACUUGAGAGAUGGAAGGGAAAGUGGAAUUCCUAGUGUAGCGGUGAAAUGCGCAGAUAUUAGGAGGAAUACCGGUGGCGAAGGCGACUUUCUGGCCAUUAUCUGACGCUGAGGUACGAAAGCGUGGGUAGCAAACAGGAUU
rnacentral:rRNA from 1 species